rnacentral:rRNA from 1 species
CACGUAGGGGGCAGGCGUUGUCCGGAUUUAUUGGGCGUAAAGAGCGUGUAGGCGGCCUUACAGGUCAGCUGUGAAAACUCGAGGCUCAACCUCGAGACGUCGGUUGAAACCGUAAGGCUAGAGUCCGGAAGAGGAGAGUGGAAUUCCCGGUGUAGCGGUGAAAUGCGCAGAUAUCGGGAAGAACACCCGUGGCGAAGGCGGCUCUCUGGGACGGUACUGACGCUGAGACGCGAAAGCGUGGGGAGCGAACAGG